CCUACGGGAGGCAGCAGUAGGGAAUCUUCCACAAUGGGCGAAAGCCUGAUGGAGCAACGCCGCGUGGGUGAAGAAGGUCUUCGGAUCGUAAAACCCUGUUGUUAGAGAAGAAAGUGCGUGAGAGUAACUGUUCACGUUUCGACGGUAUCUAACCAGAAAGCCACGGCUAACUACGUGCCAGCAGCCGCGGUAAUACGUAGGUGGCAGGGUUAUCCGGAUUUAUUGGGCGUAAAGGGAACGCAGGCGGUCUUUUAAGUCUGAUGUGAAAGCCUUCGGCUUAACCGGAGUAGGGCAUUGGAAACUGGGAGACUUGAGUGCAGGAGAGGUAAGUGGAAUUCCCGGUGUAGCGGUGGAAUGCGUAGAUAUCGGGAGGAACACCAGAGGCGAAGGCGACUUACUGGACUGUAACUGACGCUGAGGCUCGAAAGCGUGGGGAGCAAACAGGAUUAGAUACCCGAGUAGUC
rnacentral:rRNA from 1 species